UACGAAGGGGGCUAGCGUUGCUCGGAAUCACUGGGCGUAAAGGGUGCGUAGGCGGGUUUUUAAGUCAGGGGUGAAAUCCUGGAGCUCAACUCCAGAACUGCCUUUGAUACUGAAGAUCUUGAGUCCGGGAGAGGUGAGUGGAACUGCGAGUGUAGAGGUGAAGUUCGUAGAUAUUCGCAAGAACACCAGUGGCGAAGGCGGCUCACUGGCCCGGUACUGACGCUGAGGCGCGAAAGCGUGGGGAGCGAACAGG
rnacentral:rRNA from 1 species